rnacentral:rRNA from 1 species
UAGGGAAUCUUCGGCAAUGGACGAAAGUCUGACCGAGCAACGCCGCGUGAGUGAAGAAGGUUUUCGGAUCGUAAAACUCUGUUGUUAGAGAAGAACAAGGACGUUAGUAACUGAACGUCCCCUGACGGUAUCUAACCAGAAAGCCACGGCUAACUACGUGCCAGCAGCCGCGGUAAUACGUAGGUGGCAAGCGUUGUCCGGAUUUAUUGGGCGUAAAGCGAGCGCAGGCGGUUUCUUAAGUCUGAUGUGAAAGCCCCCGGCUCAACCGGGGAGGGUCAUUGGAAACUGGGAGACUUGAGUGCGGAAGAGGAAAGUGGAAUUCCAUGUGUAGCGGUGAAAUGCGUAGAUAUAUGGGGGAACACCAGUGGCGAAGGCGGCUCUCUGGUCUGUAACUGACGCUGAGGCUCGAAAGCGUGGGGAGCAAACAGG